rnacentral:lncRNA from 1 species
UUGUCGUCUUUUCUUCUUUAAUGCCUUGAUGUAAUAACACAUUUGUUCAACACUUUCUUAUUGUCUUAGACUUCAAAACGUACACUUGCUCUGAAACCCUAAAAAGUUGAAUCAAGAUUUGGAUUACAACAAAUCUGUGUAGGUUUUGCUGUGGAAGUAUACCUUACUGCUCUGUAUUUACCAUGUUUCUUGAAGUCUAAUGUUGCAGAAGAUUCAUUUAGCUCAUAUGCAUCCUCAAUCUUGUCUACGUUUGAAUGUCUCUGCUGCUGCACAAGUUUCACGUCCCUCUCACUCGUCUGCUGCUGCAAAAGUUUCAAAGCUUCUCAUGAACGAGUCAAGGCUCAUGAAUAUGGAAGAUACCUUUACUACUCCAACUAUUUCUUCUCAGAUACUUUUCUCAUCACAGGAGAUAAAUGUAUCGUGUAGGUCCACCAUAAAGCAGAUAGAAGAGGAUCUGUACCAAUAGGAGAGGGAAGUCCUACCAUCCUCUGUGACUCUCCUUCUCUGAGCUAUUUCCAAAGAAGAGAAAAGUGUUGCAUGUGAACGACCGUAAAAUCUAACAAACAUAGUAAGAGAGGAUACUAAUGUUCUGUAUUUCCAAUGAUGAUGUAUUAGCAUAAAGCUGUAACUUUUGUCUUUUUCACUUAUCAGAGUGAAGAGUAUUGUUGAGCUUGGAAGAGAGGAACACACCUGUUCUCUGACUCUAAAGUAUGGUCAUCGUCUAUGUGACAGCACAAGCCAAU